UCUCAAUCCCAGAUCAACAGCACAAAGGGAAGCAAACAACAAAUCUAAACAAAAUAUAAAUUAAACUAAGAUAUUAGACUAAAAAUCAAAUAGAUUAACACUAACACAAGCAUAUUUCUUUUGCAAUAUCAAUCUCAAAUUAACAACACAAAGAGAAGUAAACAACAAGUUUGAACAAAAUAUAAAUAUGAGCAACAAUCUUAGAAAAGUAAACCCAAGUCCCAAUCUGUGAAGCCCAAUGUUCUAGUGAUGGGAAGUGAAGAUGUGCUUUGGAGGAUUUUUGCAUUGAAUUUGAGGAUAGAGGCGUGCAUCAGAUGGGCAUCAGCUGGCAUCAAAUGGAGGAUAAGAGGAAGGCUUCGUCUUCGUCUUCACCUAUGUGACCUGGGUCUUCAUUUUCACGGAUCUCACCAUCGAUCAGAAACACCAUGAGGAUAGAGGAGGGUUAUGCAUUUUUUAGCGAGAUAUUGAAGAAUAAAGAGCGAAAAAGAAGUGAAGAAAGGUUUCUCGAAAUGGUUUGUGAAGGGGCGAGUCAAAGAAUGGGGAAGCAAGAAAGCUACGUGGAGGGAGGCAUGGAGAUGAGGGCUACGUGGAGGAAGUUGUUUUAG
rnacentral:misc_RNA from 1 species